CCUACGGGUGGCAGCAGUGGGGAAUAUUGCACAAUGGGGGAAACCCUGAUGCAGCGACGCCGCGUGAGUGAAGAAGUAAUUCGGUAUGUAAAGCUCUAUCAGCAGGGAAGAAAAUGACGGUACCUGACUAAGAAGCCCCGGCUAACUACGUGCCAGCAGCCGCGGUAAUACGUAGGGGGCAAGCGUUAUCCGGAUUUACUGGGUGUAAAGGGAGCGUAGGCGGCAGUGCAAGUCUGGAGUGAAAGGCUGGGGCUCAACCCCCGGACUGCCUUGGAAACUGUGCGGCUGGAGUGCAGGAGAGGUAAGCGGAAUUCCUGGUGUAGCGGUGAAAUGCGUAGAUAUUAGGAGGAACACCAGUGGCGAAGGCGGCUUACUGGACUGUAACUGACGUUGAGGCUCGAAAGCGUGGGGAGCAAACAGGAUUAGAUACCCGGGUAGUC
rnacentral:rRNA from 1 species